UGGCAGUUUUCAAACGAAGACAUUGAUAUCGUAUGGAGAAGGAAAAAUAACCCAGAUGGCUCUGUGGAGGAAAUUAGUUCAAGAGAGGAGGAUGGAACAUAAGUGCAUGGUGCAGGUGGUGAAGGUCAUGCUCUCAAUCCCACCCAACACUGGGUGGAUUGAGAGAGCAUACAGCAAAUUGCAGUUGAUUUGCACUGCAAGACGGAACAAACUUCUGGUCGACAAUAUCCGCCAUGAGUUCUUCCUGAACAUGCUGGAACUACCUGUCCGGGAGUGUACCACUGGAUACAAUGAAGAGAUAGAGUUAGCCUCAAAGAAGAAGAUAUUUGGCGAGUUUGGUGAACUUGCUUGAUUGACAAUAUUAGUGAAUACAUAGACUUUAUCAGUGUUGUAUAUAGUAUGCAUAGAGAGACCAUAAAUAAGUCUAAAAUCA